rnacentral:rRNA from 1 species
UGAGUAAUGUCUGGGAAACUGCCCGAUGGAGGGGGAUAACUACUGGAAACGGUAGCUAAUACCGCAUAACGUCGCAAGACCAAAGUGGGGGACCUUCGGGCCUCACACCAUCGGAUGUGCCCAGAUGGGAUUAGCUAGUAGGUGGGGUAAUGGCUCACCUAGGCGACGAUCCCUAGCUGGUCUGAGAGGAUGACCAGCCACACUGGAACUGAGACACGGUCCAGACUCCUACGGGAGGCAGCAGUGGGGAAUAUUGCACAAUGGGCGCAAGCCUGAUGCAGCCAUGCCGCGUGUAUGAAGAAGGCCUUCGGGUUGUAAAGACUUUCAGCGGGGAGGAAGGCGGUGGAGUUAAUAGCUUCACCGAUUGACGUUACCCGCAGAAGAAGCACCGGCUAACUCCGUGCCAGCAGCCGCGGUAAUACGGAGGGUGCAAGCGUUAAUCGGAAUUACUGGGCGUAAAGCGCACGCAGGCGGUCUGUCAAGUCGGAUGUGAAAUCCCCGGG